GACGAACGCUAGCGGCGUGCUUAACACAUGCAAGUCGAACGAAGUGGCGAACGGGUGAGUAACGCGUAAUCAACCUGCCCUUCAGAGGGGGACAACAGUUGGAAACGACUGCUACUACCGCAUACUGACGACGGGGAUUGUGUCUGCUUAGCUAGUUGGAGGGGUAACGGCGCACCAAGGCGAUGAUCAGGAGCCGGGCUGAGAGGAUGAGCGGCCACAUUGGGACUGAGACAGGGCACAGACUCCUACGGGAGGCAGCAGUGGGGAAUCUGCCGAAAUGGACGAAAGUCUGACGGAGCAACGCCGCGUGAGUGAUGAGGGCCUUCGGGUUGUAAAGCUCUGUUAAUCGGGACGCGGUACCGGAAUAGAAAGCCACGGCUAACUACGUGCCAGCAGCCGCGGUAAUAC
rnacentral:rRNA from 1 species